AUAUUGCGCAAUGGAGGAAACUCUGACGCAGCGACGCCGCGUGAGCGAUGACGGUCUUNGGAGCGNANAGCUCUGUCCUCGGGGANCCAGGUCUUCGGACUUGACGGUACCCCUGGAGGAAGCCCCGGCUAACUACGUGCCAGCAGCCGCGGUAAUACGUAGGGGGCAAGCGUUGUCCGGAAUUAUUGGGCGUAAAGGGUGCGUAGGCGGCCUUUUAAGUCAGAUGUGAAAGCCCACGGCUCAACCGUGGGAUUGCAUUUGAAACUGGAGGGCUUGAGUAUCGGAGAGGGUAGUGGAAUUCCCAGUGUAGCGGUGAAAUGCGUAGAUAUUGGGAGGAACACCAGUGGCGAAGGCGACUACCUGGACGAUUACUGACGCUGAUGCACGAAAGCUAGGGGAGCAAACA
rnacentral:rRNA from 1 species